rnacentral:rRNA from 1 species
AAUUUUGGACAAUGGGGGAAACCCUGAUCCAGCCAUCCCGCGUGUAUGAUGAAGGACCUCGGGUUGUCCAGCUCUUUCCCCGGAGAAGAUAAUGACGGUAACCGGAGCAGAAGCCCCGGCUACCUUCGUGCCAGCAGCCGCGGUAAUACGUAGGGUGCAAGCGUUAAUCGGAAUUACUGGGCGUAAAGCGUGUGUAGGCGGUUCGGAAAGAAAGAUGUGAAAUCCCAGGGCUCAACCUUGGAACUGCAUUUUUAGCUGCCGAGCUAGAGUAUGUCAGAGGGGGGUAGAAUUCCACGUGUAGCAGUGAAAUGCGUAGAUAUGUGGAGGAAUACCGAUGGCGAAGGCAGCCCCCUGGGAUAAUACUGACGCUCAGACACGAAAGCGUGGGGAGCAAACAGG